GCAGUCGAACGGCAGCACGGAGCUUGCUCUGGUGGCGAGUGGCGAACGGGUGAGUAAUAUAUCGGAACGUACCCUAGAGUGGGGGAUAACGUAGCGAAAGUUACGCUAAUACCGCAUACGAUCUAAGGAUGAAAGUGGGGGAUCGCAAGACCUCAUGCUCGUGGAGCGGCCGAUAUCUGAUUAGCUAGUUGGUAGGGUAAAAGCCUACCAAGGCAUCGAUCAGUAGCUGGUCUGAGAGGACGACCAGCCACACUGGAACUGAGACACGGUCCAGACUCCUACGGGAGGCAGCAGUGGGGAAUUUUGGACAAUGGGCGAAAGCCUGAUCCAGCAAUGCCGCGUGAGUGAAGAAGGCCUUCGGGUUGUAAAGCUCUUUUGUCAGGGAAGAAACGGUGANAGCUAAUAUCUUUUGCUAAUGACGGUACCUGAAGAAUAAGCACCGGCUAACUACGUGCCAGCAGCCGCGGUAAUACGUAGGGUGCAAGCGUUAAUCGGAAUUACUGGGCGUAAAGCGUGCGCAGGCGGUUUUGUAAGUCUGAUGUGAAAUCCCCGGGCUCAACCUGGGAAUUGCAUUGGAGACUGCAAGGCUAGAAUCUGGCAGAGGGGGGUAGAAUUCCACGUGUAGCAGUGAAAUGCGUAGAUAUGUGGAGGAACACCGAUGGCGAAGGCAGCCCCCUGGGUCAAGAUUGACGCUCAUGCACGAAAGCGUGGGGAGCAAACAGGAUUAGAUACCCUGGUAGUCCACGCCCUAAACGAUGUCUACUAGUUGUCGGGUCUUAAUUGACUUGGUAACGCAGCUAACGCGUGAAGUAGACCGCCUGGGGAGUACGGUCGCAAGAUUAAAACUCAAAGGAAUUGACGGGGACCCGCACAAGCGGUGGAUGAUGUGGAUUAAUUCGAUGCAACGCGAAAAACCUUACCUACCCUUGACAUGGCUGGAAUCCUUGAGAAAUCAGGGAGUGCUCGAAAAAAACCAGUACACAGGUGCUGCAUGGCUGUCGUCAGCUCGUGUCG
rnacentral:rRNA from 1 species